UACGUAGGGUGCAGGCGUUAAUCGGAAUUACUGGGCGUAAAGCGUGCGCAGGCGGUUUGCUAAGACAGGUGUGAAAUUCCCGGGCUUAACCUGGGAACUGCGCUUGUUACUGGCAGGCUUGAGUGUGGCAGAGGGGGGUGGAAUUCCACGUGUAGCAGUGAAAUGCGUAGAGAUGUGGAGGAACACCGAUGGCGAAGGCAGCCCCCUGGGCUAACACUGACGCUCAUGCACGAAAGCGUGGGGAGCAAACAGG
rnacentral:rRNA from 1 species